GGCGGACAGCUCAAGGGAAAGCAGGGAGAGAGCAGCCGAACCAUGGGAGCGUGGGGGAGGAGCAGCUGACUGAGGUACAGAAGCAGGAUGAGAAUGCGGAUUUAAUUGUGAAAAAGAAGAGGACUGUGACUUCACCUGUGCCCCGAAACCAACAAAGACCAAGUUGGGGAGCUUGGACUAUAGCCCAGGGGUUAGAAAGCCUGCCAACACACAAAGGCAAAAAAGUCACCUUGAGGAAGAUGUUUAUUACUUCAGCUUCAAAGGACCACUCGCCAUUUCAAAACCCAUUGACCCAUUUGAAGUGAAGGAUUGCGCAAAUGUGAAGGAACUUUGAACUCAUUAUAAUACAUUUUAAUACAAAGUGAGGGUAGGCAGGGUUAGGUAAUGAAUAUGUAUAGGCAUUCCGUGAAAUUAUAUGAAUAUGUAAGACUAUUUUUGAUAAAUAAUGGAGCUGGGGGCUUUGUGAUUCCACACAUCUUUGGGAGGUUACUCUCUAUGUGUCCAGCGCUGUCAAUAAACAUACCACUUUCUGACUUUAA